GGGGGGGGGGGGGGGGGGGGGGGGGGGGGGGGGGGGGGGGGGGGGGGGGGGGGGGGGGGGGGGGGGGGGGGGGGGGGGGGGGGGGGGGGGGGGGGGGGGUAAAGAACCCGGGAAUGCAGGAUGGGGAAAAGCUCCCAGCGCCUUCCUGAUGGGAUUUUCCACUUUUUUUUAUCCCUCAUCCUGCUGCUGUUCCUGUUCCCUGUGUCCCACCCCCACCCCCAUUCCCCACAUCCCAUUCCCAGUAUUCCGUCCCGUUCCCAUUAUCCCAUCCCAGUUCCCAUUCCCGUUCCCAUUCCCAUCCCUUUCCCAUUCCAGAUCCAACUCCCUGUAUCCCAUUAUCCCCAUUAUUCCCAUUAUCCCCAUUAUCCCCAUCAUUCCCAUUAUUCCCAUUAUCCCCAUCAUUCCCAUUAUUCCCAUCAUUCCCAUUAUUCCCAUCAUUCCCAUUAUUCCCAUCAUUCCCAUUAUUCCCAUCAUUCCCAUUAUUCCCAUCAUUCCCAUUAUUCCCAUCAUUCCCAUUAUUCCCAUCAUUCCCAUUAUUCCCAUCAUUCCCAUUAUUCCCAUCAUUCCCAUUAUUCCCAUCAUUCCCAUUAUUCCCAUCAUUCCCAUUAUUCCCAUCAUUCCCAUUAUUCCCAUCAUUCCCAUUAUUCCCAUUCCCAUCCCUUUCCCAUUCCCUGAAGCCCAAUCCCAUUCCCGUUCCCAUUCCCAUUCCCAUUCCCAUUCCCAUUCCCAUUUCCAUUCCCAGUAUCCCAUUCCCAGUAUCCCAUUCCCAAUCCCAGUAUCCCAAUCCCAGUAUCCCAUUCCCAGUAUCCCAUUCCCAAUCCCAGUAUCCCAUUCCCUCUCCCACAAGGCCCCACAAAUGAUCUGGGCUGGAUAAUUGUGACCAAUCCCAAAUCCCAGCCCGAAUUCCCGGAGCAGAAAUUUCGUGUGUGGGAUCAGGGAUCGCAGGAGGAGAGGGAAAAAAAAAUCGGGAAAUCAGGAAUAAGAUCCGGAAAGGAGCCGAGGAAAAAUCCCUGGAAAAAUUCCUUCCUUUUUUUUGGGAAUCUGGGGAGGGCCAGAGCUGCUCGAUCCCACAUCUGCUGCAGAUCCAGCGGGAAAAAUCCCAAAAAAUCCUCUCCCAGCGCCAGAUCCUGGGGAGAAAAAAAAAAAAUAA
rnacentral:lncRNA from 12 species